GAGGAAACGGUCGUGACGGAGGCUACGGCUCAGAGCGGGAAGAACUGAAAUCGCUUUCGGACACCUCCUUCCCUUUCCCUCCUCGUUGUCGGUCAGAUGCACUAGGCUGAAUCAUUUUUUUAGAGGCUGGACCCUAUCCAAGGCCGUGGCGGCUUGAGCUGGAUUCUAUUUUGUCCUUUGGGCAAAACGGGAGAGAUGGCGGCGCCCGUGAGCCACGACGGAGGAGCAGCAAGGGGGCGGCCAUCUUACAGGAAGUGCAGUUCCGUUCGGCAGAGACCCGAGGAGCGAGUGUUAGGAGGAAACUUGGGACGGUCAACGAAGUUUGCAGGAGGUGAGACACGUUGUGAAGGCGGCGGUCAGGUCCUGGACAAAACACGGAAACUUCGAGUCCUGGUGAAAUUUGGGAAAGAGUGCUCAGAACAAAAACUUGAACAGAAGUUUUCAAUAACGGACUAUUAAAUGAAUAACUGAAUUUGGCUUGCAAGAUACAGUAUUCUCUUCGUCAAGGUUCUGUGCUGCUCAGUGAAAAUUAAAUACAGCAAAGGUGCAAGAGAAUGUUUAUAUGUGCUGCUUUUUGAAAAGAAAAGGGACAAAAAGUAGUAUCUACUUGCUUGUACUGCCAAAAAAA